rnacentral:rRNA from 1 species
UACGGAGGGUGCAAGCGUUGCUCGGAAUUAUUGGGCGUAAAGCGCACGCAGGCGGCGUGGUAAGUCAGUUGUGAAACUCCCGGGCUUAACUUGGGAACUGCAGCUGAUACUGCCAUGCUUGAGUACGGAAGAGGGGAGUGGAAUUCCCAGUGUAGAGGUGAAAUUCGUAGAUAUUGGGAGGAACACCGGUGGCGAAGGCGCUCCCUGGUCCGAUACUGACGCUGAGGAGCGAAAGCGUGGGGAGCGAACAGG